UUCAUCCAGGUAUUGGAGAUAUCAUCCUCGUCAUCAGAUUCAUCCGAAUCUUAUAAGAUGUCCUUACGGGAGAUUUGAAACGGGUGUCAAUCCUAAUAGUAUUCCACGAUCCCUACCUUGCAUGAAUUAACACCAGCGAAAAUGGUAACCUCUUCAUUGAUUCUUUUCCUAGAUGUAGUCAAGAUAAAAAUUUUGAUGCAAGAUCAAUCGUCGGACUCCCAUAACUUUGUCAGUGUUUCCAGGGUCUUGAAGUGGUUGCCAAUAAUGGUAAGGUUAUCUGAGGACAACAUAUACAAUGGGAAACCAAUGAUUUUGAUCCAGACCAGCCUCUCGAAUCUUACCUUGUCAAAUCCAUCUGCCUUUAGCCAUUUGAACCACUUUACCCACAGAUUUUUUUUUUUUCAGAUAGGAAAUCAUUUGCACGAACAGAAGAUUCACAAUUUAACAUAACUAACAUACCUCCAAGGUAGAAAAUCUUCAUCCCUAGUACACCAUCGACUUUAAAGAUUCUUGUUAGAUUACGAAGGUUCUCCAAACUUUGAACUUCCCCCAUAAGUGCUUCUUUGGCGAAGAAUUCAUUUUUCUCAACCCACUCUCUAAUAUGAAUGACAUUUUCACAGGGAGGAGCAUGAUGAGUGAGAGAUAGGUUGAAACCUUUAAAUACAUCUACGAAGGAUCUCUGGUUGGAAGUGAAUCUGUCCAUGAGUGGUUUAUUGUUGUUUGGAAAUCCUGCUGACAGUCUAUGAGAGGUGGUGAAUCCUCUACCCAGAUUUGAUUUCCUGAGAAAUCUGGCGACAUAGCAUGAUAUUAUACUAUCACCGUAUUUCACUCUCCCAAUCACUUCGUUUCCAGAUCAGCCACCAGAGCAACCACGAACCACCACACCACAACCAGAGUACUCUCCGGUGAGAACGAAGAGAGAGAAAGAAGAGAGGGACAGAAGAAGGCUGAGAGAGAAGAAAUCGGUCAAGAAGCCCUGGGCGUUGCGUCUGGUCGUCGGCACCACGAUCCAUCACGAAAACGACGAACCACGACCGACCGGGGUGGUGUGUACGGCCGUUGUUCAUGGUCACGUAGACCACGAUCGGGUUCAUGGUCCGUAUACCUUACGACCUAACUUCAAGCGCAUUUUUCAAGAGCGAUUAGAAAAGUAUUUGAUUAUCGGGGAUGUGUGGGUCAUGUAAUACAUAUGUUAAGGGUCAACUACUAAAGGGUCAAUUUUUCAACCAAUUAUAUAAAUAUUCAACAUCCAACAGAUAUUCCAUUAUAUAAGGACGACCUACAGACAAUAAAACCAUUUCAAAAGGAUCACCUUGAGGGGAACGUUUGAAUUUAGAAAAUGGUAUGUUACAUUUAUAAGUAGUCUUUCGUGUAGCUAUUUCACUUGUGGUUAUAGAAUUUGUAAAGGAAUUAAUGCCAUUUUCCUAUCAGAUUUAGUUGAGCAUAAAUAUAAGUUGGUGUUAGUCGUUUAGUACGCUUGAAAUAGCUCAAAUAAAAGUCAAUUUAUGACAGA
rnacentral:lncRNA from 1 species